GAUUAGAUACCCUAGUAUUAAUAAUUUAAUAUAAUUAUUAUGAGAAAGAAAUUUAAGAUUUUUGGCGGUUAAUUAUUAUUUAGAGGAGCUUGUUUAUAGAAAUUACUCUUUAUAUUUUAUUAAUUUAUGCUUAUUUAUCUCCGUUAUAAGGUGAGAACUGAAUAAAUUUUUGUUUUUAUUUCAGGUCAAGAUGUAGUAAUAAUUAAGAAUAAUUAGCUACAUUAAUGAGAUUAUGGAUUGGAAAAAGAAAAUUUUUAAUGAAAUUGAAUUUAAUUGUAAUUUAAUUUAGAAUAAUUAAAUGAAUUUAAGUGAUUAAUGUUCAUAUUGCCCGUCACUUCUUUUGAUAAAGAGAAUAAGUCGUAACAAAGUA
rnacentral:rRNA from 1 species